ACUUACAGCCAUACCGCCCUGAAAGUAUCUGAUCUCAGAAGCUAAGCAGCGUUGAGUCUGUAUAGUACUCGGAUGGGAGACUGCCUGGGAAUAACAGGUGCUGUAUGCU
rnacentral:rRNA from 1 species